AGAGUUUGAUCAUGGCUCAGAACGAACGCUGGCGGCGUGGAUAAGACAUGCAAGUCGAACGCGACAUGCGCUGUAGCAAUACAGUGUAUGUCGAGUGGCGCAAGGGUGCGUAACACGUGGGCAAUUUGCCGUGAAGUUGGGAAUAACUUGCUGAAAGGCGAGCUAAUACCGAAUGUGGUUUGUUGAAGGCAUCUUCGAUCAACUAAAGUCGGGGACCGUAAGGCCUGACGCUUCACGAUAAGCCCGCGGCCUAUCAGCUAGUUGGUGAGGUAACGGCUCACCAAGGCUAAGACGGGUAGCUGGUCUGAGAGGACGACCAGCCACACUGGAACUGAGACACGGUCCAGACACCUACGGGUGGCAGCAGUCGAGAAUUUUUCUCAAUGGGCGAAAGCCUGAAGGAGCGACGCCGCGUGGGGGAUGAAUGGCUUCGGCCCGUAAACCCCUGUCAUUUGCGAACAAACCUUAUCAUUUAAAAGAUGAUGAGCUGAUUGUAGCGAAAGAGGAAGGGACGGCUAACUCUGUGCCAGCAGCCGCGGUAAUACAGAGGUCCCAAGCGUUGUUCGGAUUCACUGGGCGUAAAGGGUGCGUAGGUGGUCGGGUAAGUUUGAUGUGAAAGCUCCGAGCUUAACUCGGAAAUUGCAUUGAAUACUAUUCGGCUAGAGGGUUGGAGGGGGGACUGGAAUUCUCGGUGUAGCAGUGAAAUGCGUAGAUAUCGAGAGGAACACCAGUGGCGAAGGCGAGUCCCUGGACAACUCCUGACACUGAGGCACGAAAGCUAGGGGAGCAAACAGGAUUAGAUACCCUAGUAGUCC
rnacentral:rRNA from 1 species